rnacentral:rRNA from 1 species
GAUGAACGCUAGCUACAGGCUUAACACAUGCAAGUCGAGGGGAAACGGCAUUUUAGCUUGCUAAGAUGGACGUCGACCGGCGAAUGGGUGAGUAACGCGUAUCCAACCUUCCGUUAAGUAGGGAAUAGCCUUGCGAAAGUAAGAUUAAUGCCCUAUGUGGUGUUUUGAGGACAUCUGAAGAGCACCAAAGGUUUACCGCUUAACGAUGGGGAUGCGUCUGAUUAGGUUGUUGGCGGGGCAACGGCCCACCAAGCCUACGAUCAGUAGGGGUUCUGAGAGGAAGGUCCCCCACAUUGGAACUGAGACACGGUCCAAACUCCUACGGGAGGCAGCAGUGAGGAAUAUUGGUCAAUGGGCGUGAGCCUGAACCAGCCAAGUAGCGUGCGGGACGAAGGCCCUAUGGGUUGUAAACCGCUUUUUCAGGGGGAUAAAGUGAGUGACGUGUCAUUCAUUGCAGGUACCCUGCGAAUAAGGACCGGCUAAUUCCGUG